rnacentral:misc_RNA from 1 species
CAAAUCCAACGUCUCCUCAUCCGAGACACCGUUGAAACAAAGGUUGUAGCCAUGACGUGAAAGAGACUUGAUAGACCAUAGCGCAAGGGGCUCUCUUUUGAUGAUGCUUCCGUGCUAUUGUCUGUCUAGCCCCUCUUUCUGUCUUGUCUGCACACCAAACUCACUAGAAACUGUUGAUCAUUUGUAUGCUUCUUAACAAAGAAA